rnacentral:rRNA from 1 species
UACGGAGGGUGCGAGCGUUGUUCGGAUUUAUUGGGCGUAAAGCGCGUGUAGGCGGCUUCUUAAGUCUGAUGUGAAAGCCCUGGGCUCAACCCGGGAAGUGCAUUGGAAACUGGGAAACUUGAAUACGGGAGAGGGUAGUGGAAUUCCUGGUGUAGGAGUGAAAUCCGUAGAUAUCAGGAGGAACACCGGUGGCGAAGGCGGCUGCCUGGACCGAUAUUGACGCUGAGACGCGAAAGCGUGGGGAGCAAACAGG